rnacentral:rRNA from 1 species
UACGGAGGGAGCUAGCGUUGUUCGGAUAUACUGGGCGUAAAGCGCACGUAGGCGGCGCAGCAAGUCAGGGGUGAAAUCCCGGAGCUCAACUCCGGAACUGCCUUUGAAACUGCAGUGCUAGAAUUCUGGAGAGGCGAGUGGAAUUCCGAGUGUAGAGGUGAAAUUCGUAGAUAUUGGGAAGAACACCGGUGGCGAAGGCGGCUCUCUGGACCGAGACUGACGCUGAGGCGCGAAAGCUAGGGGAGCAAACGGG